AAGUCGUUGCGGCUAAAA
rnacentral:snRNA from 1 species